GAUGAACGCUGGCGGCGUGCCUAAUACAUGCAAGUCGAGCGAACAGAUGAGGAGCUUGCUCCUCUGACGUUAGCGGCGGACGGGUGAGUAACACGUGGAUAACCUACCUAUAAGACUGGGAUAACUUCGGGAAACCGGAGCUAAUACCGGAUAAUAUAUUGAACCGCAUGGUUCAAUAGUGAAAGACGGUUUUGCUGUCACUUAUAGAUGGAUCCGCGCCGCAUUAGCUAGUUGGUAAGGUAACGGCUUACCAAGGCGACGAUGUGUAGCCGACCUGAGAGGGUGAUCGGCCACACUGGAACUGAGACACGGUCCAGACUCCUACGGGAGGCAGCAGUAGGGAAUCUUCCGCAAUGGGCGAAAGCCUGACGGAGCAACGCCGCGUGAGUGAUGAAGGUCUUCGGAUCGUAAAACUCUGUUAUUAGGGAAGAACAAAUGUGUAAGUAACUAUGCACGUCUUGACGGUACCUAAUCAGAAAGCCACGGCUAACUACGUG
rnacentral:rRNA from 1 species